UACGUAGGGCGCAAGCGUUGUCCGGAAUUAUUGGGCGUAAAGAGCUCGUAGGUGGUUUGCUGCGUCCGCUGUGAAAACCCAAGGCUUAACCUUGGGCUUGCAGUGGAUACGGGCAGACUAGAGGUAGGUAGGGGAGAAUGGAAUUCCCGGUGUAGCGGUGAAAUGCGCAGAUAUCGGGAGGAACACCGGUGGCGAAGGCGGUUCUCUGGGCCUUACCUGACACUGAGGAGCGAAAGCGUGGGGAGCGAACAGG
rnacentral:rRNA from 1 species